rnacentral:misc_RNA from 1 species
UUACUACAUAAAGGGGAGUAGCAAAUUAAUUUAACUAUUCGUCAUUACGGCAAUUAAAGCCCGGAUAGUUACUCCAAAGAGAGAUUGCAAGACCUUUGUUCUACAG